AACGCACAUUGCGCCCUUUGGUAUUCCGAAGGGCACGCCUGUUCGAGCGCCAUUACACCCUCCAAGCUUUGCUUGAUGUUGGAACGUUGCGUUGGUUAAUUCUUGACGCACGUCUGGAACGUGUAGGCGUCCGUCCUGUCGAGACACCUCGAGCGUAGCAAGACUUUUCAAGUCAUUUUUCGCUUUUGUAGGGACUCCAGCGGACUGCCCCUCUGAUUUAGGGAGUCAACCCCCCUAAUCAACUUCAAGAGUUUGGCCUCGGAUCAGGCGGGGAUACCCGCUGAACUUAA
rnacentral:misc_RNA from 1 species